rnacentral:rRNA from 1 species
UACGUAGGGUGCGAGCGUUAAUCGGAAUUACUGGGCGUAAAGCGUGCGCAGGCGGUUCGUUAAGUCAGCUGUGAAAGCCCCGGGCUCAACCUGGGAAUUGCGGUUGAAACUGGCGGACUAGAAUCUGGCAGAGGGGGGUAGAAUUCCACGUGUAGCAGUGAAAUGCGUAGAGAUGUGGAGGAACACCGAUGGCGAAGGCAGCCCCCUGGGUCAAGAUUGACGCUCAUGCACGAAAGGCGUGGGGAGCAAACAGG